rnacentral:rRNA from 1 species
GAUGAACGCUGGCGGCGUGCUUAACACAUGCAAGUCGAACGAUGAAGCCCAGCUUGCUGGGUGGAUUAGUGGCGAACGGGUGAGUAACACGUGAGUAACCUGCCCUUAACUCUGGGAUAAGCCUGGGAAACUGGGUCUAAUACCGGAUAGGAGCGUCCACCGCAUGGUGGGUGUUGGAAAGAUUUAUCGGUUUUGGAUGGACUCGCGGCCUAUCAGCUUGUUGGUAAGGUAAUGGCUCACCAAGGCGACGACGGGUAGCCGGCCUGAGAGGGUGACCGGCCACACUGGGACUGAGACACGGCCCAGACUCCUACGGGAGGCAGCAGUGGGGAAUAUUGCACAAUGGGCGCAAGCCUGAUGCAGCGACGCCGCGUGAGGGAUGACGGCCUUCGGGUUGUAAACCUCUUUCAGUAGGGAAGAAGCGAAAGUGACGGUACCUGCAGAAGAAGCACCGGCUAACUACGUG